UGAGCCGCCAUCGUUUUAUUUGGAAACUGGUGGAGAGAGAGAAGCGAAUGCAUGAAUCUGUUUGGUGGAUUCGAUGUGUUUUGCUUGCUCGGAAAAGGCAAAGAGGAUGAACUCCAUGAAGUAGAAGUCUUUGAAAAGUUGAGGAUGUUGUUCGUCCACGAGCUCUCUGGGUGUAGUGAUUAUGGUACCCUCAGCUGGAACUGCAAAGCAUGCUAGGAAAAAUCGAUCUUUGUUUCCGCUCAUCAUCACUCUGUGAUUCACCGCUUUAAGUCUCCCAUUACUCCAUGCCUUCAAUUUUUCAUUUUCCACACAUGAUUAAUAUUAUGAAU